rnacentral:rRNA from 1 species
UACGUAGGGUGCGAGCGUUAAUCGGAAUUACUGGGCGUAAAGCGUGCGCAGGCGGUUCGCCAAGUCAGGUGUGAAAUCCCCGGGCUUAACCUGGGAAUUGCGCUUGAAACUAGCGGGCUUGAGUGUGGCAGAGGGGGGUGGAAUUCCACGUGUAGCAGUGAAAUGCGUAGAGAUGUGGAGGAAUACCGAUGGCGAAGGCAGCCCCCUGGGCCAAUACUGACGCUCAUGCACGAAAGCGUGGGGAGCAAACAGG